AGAGAGAGAGAGAGGAUAUAAGCGUGGUGGAAGGCUUCGGGUGGUUCAGACUGUCAUCUUUCUCACACCGGAGGCACAGAAACGCGCAGUUGGUGUAGCAAGAUGGUGUCGACGAGGCUGGUGGUGACGCUGGUGGUGGUGAUGGUGAUGAUGGCAGGCGCGGCGCACGGCGAAAAGGACUACGCGGCCCUGACGAAACUCCGGGCCCAGCUGCUGGAGGGCUAUGACCGUAAUACGCUUGCCCUAGGCGCCGGCGGCCCUAUCACGGUGAAUAUGAGCGGCCUCGUCAUCAGGAACCUCUUCAUGGACGAGAAGAAGCACCAAGUCCAUCUUCACGGCUGGAUCUCCUACAUGUGGAAUGACCCGCGCCUCACCUGGGACCCCGAGGCGCACAGCGGGAUCACCAAGCUUGCCGUCUCCCCGAAGGACGUGUGGCUGCCAGACCUCUCCGUCUACACCUCGGCGGACGCCGCUAGCACAUUCAUGGAUACGUCCGUAUCCCAGGUGAUCAUUUACCCCACCGGCGAGGUGCUCCAGGUCCCGCCCAUCGACUUCGUGUACAGCUGCGAGGCGGACCUCACCUACUGGCCGCACGACGAGCACAUCUGCAAGCUGAUCAUCGGCUCCUGGGUCAACGACGGCUACACCAUCGACUUCAUUCCCUCCGAUGGUCUGAAGCCAACGGUGGAGGACGACGAGGAGCAGCAGCGGGCCAGGAUGGAGUGGUGGGUGGCAGAGUCGUCCACCACGGAGCGCAAGUCGAAAUACUACGAUUGCUGCACAGAACCGUACGUCAGCCUGACCGCCAACCUGCUGCUGCAAAGGUGUGCGCCGGCGUUCACCUGGCUCGUCAAGAUACCCGCCGUGUGUUUCAGCCUCCUGACACUCGUGAUCUUCCUGUUGCCUCCUGACGCGGGGGAAAAAAUUACCUUCGGCGGUAUAUGUAUGCUGCUCCACCUCCUCUUCCUCGUCUUCGUCAGCGACACCGUCAGGAGCGCACCCACCCACACGCCCCUCAUUGUCCAGCUGGUGGUGGUGGAGCUGGUGUUGACGGCGGCCAGCGUGGUGGUGGCGGCGGUGGUGGUGCGGCUGUCCAGGACCCCCAACACCGCCUCGCCCCCCGCCCCCCUCACCUCCCUCGCCCGCUCCCUCGCCCGCGUGCUCCUCCUCAACGCCUACGCCAACGAGGCGUCGGGGCAGGAGUCAGGGAACAAGACGGAGGAGGUGGAGCUGGGUGACAAGGGCGGGAGUGACAAGGAGAAGCAGCGUGUGGCCGGGGCUCAGUGGCUGCUCCUCGGCGCCUUCCUCGACCGCCUGGCCCUGGUGAUGUGUCUCCUGGUCAUGCUCAUUGUACUCGGCAGGUUCUCCAUGGUGCUUUAAGGGGGUCAUCCGAGGAGGUCAUAUGAAGGGGUCAUUUGAGGUUAUGUGAGGUGUGGUUUGUGUGUGUGUGUGUGUGUGUGUGUGUGUGUUGAUUUGCUUGUUGUUGUUGUUGUUGUUUUUCGUUCUUGUUCUGUGUUGUUGUUUUUUUGUUUUGUUUUUUGUUCGCCUUCCAGUUUGUCUUCCUCAUGUUGUUCUCGUUCUUGUUUGUUUUUCUUGUAGUUUUUUUCUUCUUCUUUUUUUUCUUGUUUAUUUUUUUUCGUGUUCCCUUUCCAGUUUGUCUUCUUGUUGUUCUUGUUUUCUUGUGGUUCUUUUCUUCUUCUUUCUCUGUAUUGUCUUCGUUCUUCUGUGUCUUCUCUUUUUCUUGAUUUUUUCUUGUUUAUUUUUUUUCUUGUUCCCUUUCCAGUUCUUGUUGUUGCUGUUGUUUUUCCUGUUCUUGUUAUUUUGUCUUCUAUAACGUUUUCAUCUUCCUGUUUCCUCUUUUCGUUCUCCUUUCCUCCUCCUUUUUUUUCUUCCAUCUCCUCUUCGUUCACCUUUUCCUUCCUUCACCUCUGCUUCCUCGCCUUCCUCUUUCAUCUCCACUCCUUCAUCCUCCUUCUCUUCAUUCUCUUCUUCUUUUUUCUCUAGUUUAAUGUUCUUUCUUUCUCUAGUGUUGGUUUGACAAGGCUUCUCCUGCACUUCAAAUAAACACUCAAACAUUUCAAGGCUCACACACCCACGUUUAGUAAGGCUUUGGUGGAGGUUGUUGUGUUAGGAUUCCCAUGGGUAGUGUUAUGAGCCUGGUGAUGGUUUGACAAGGGUUCCUCUGCACUUCAAAUAAACACUCAAACAUUUCAAGGCUCACACCCACAUUUAACAAGGCUUUGGUGGAGGUUGUUGUGUUAGGAUUCCCAUGGGUAGUUUUAUGAGCCUGGUGAUGGUUUGACAAGGGUUCCUCUGCACUUCAAAUAAACACUCAAACAUUUCAAGGCUCACACACCCACAUUUAACAAGGCUUUGGUGGAGGUUGUUGUGUUAGUAUUCCCAUGGGUAGUGUUAUGAGCCUGGUGAUGGUUUGACAAGGGUUCCUCUGCACUUCAAAUAAACACUCAAACAUUUCAAGGCUCAUACACCCACAUUUAACAAGGCUUUGGUGGAGGUUGUUGUGUAAGUAUUCCCAUGGGUAGUGUUAUGAGCCUGGUGAUAGUUUGACAAGGGUUCCUCUGCACUUCAAAUAAACACUCAAACAUUUCAAGGCUCACACACUCACAUUUAACAAGGCUUUGGUGGAGGUUGUUGUGUUAGGAUUCCCAUGGGUAGUGUUAUGAGCCUGGUGAUGGUUUGACAAGGCUUCCUCUGUACCAUGAACAUCAAAAACACACCCGUGAGAGCCCGACUAAUCUUCCUUUGUGGCCUUGGGAAAUAGCUGUUGUUUGACCCGAAAGCUUCUGAUAAUACGGGGAUCACUCUCAUAUCUAAUACUACAUGUCGCUUUAGGUAUAUGUCAAAAGGAAGUGACUGACAGACAUCUUGGUUUGACAGAUAUUACAUUGGUGGACGUAGAGGUAAGAUGUUAAUGUUUGUGAGUUUGAGAUUUUUGGUGUGUGUGUGUGUGUGUGUGUGUGUGUGUGUGUGUGUGUGUAGGUCAUAUUUUGAUGUAUAAGUAAGACCUUUAAGUGACAGACAAUCGCACGGUGUCUGAGCAGCGUUGCCAAAAUGUCGUACUCUGAACACUGCAUUUAUCAUACCUAGGCUCCAAGACUGUCGUAACCACACAAAUGACGAUAGAAAAUUAAAGUUAUCGUUAAAACUUAAAUAUUGAUGGUUCUAUUUUUUUUUCUGCUCUAUAUAUCGGUCAGAAACUACGAAAAUGUAAUGCGCUGAGUACGAUAAUUUGGCAACGCUGUGUCUGAGCUUCAUUUGACAGGCAUUACUUUCCUAGACGUAUCGGUGAGAUGUUAGUGUUUGUGAGGCUCAGAUCUUGAUAUAUAUGAGCCUCUUCCAUUUAGCAUAACCUGUUUCUGGGUCGUGAUCUGUAGAGUCCCUUGAUAGAGUCCCGACAACCUAAGAUUUGGACGCCAUUAUUGGUCCUGUUUUCACCACGAGAGCGUGUGCUAGCGUUUGAAAAGCACGGCGAAAACAGGCCCAAUAAUGGCGUCCAAAUCUUAGGUAGUCGGGACUCUAUAAGGGACUCUACAGAUCACGACCCAAAAGCAGGUUACGCUAAAUGGAAGACGCUAUAUAUGUAAGCAAUAUCUUGGAAUGUAUUCGUAGGUAAGAUCUUGGUGUUAGCGUGACUUGUGUUGCACUAAGGGUCAUAUUGCUAAAUAUUUCGUUGCCCAAGUACACAUAUUUGUCAAGGCGUUUUGGGCAUUUCCGGGAGUAGUUUUAUGACCCUGGUGGUAGUUUGGCCCUUCCUCUGUACCGUGAACCUAAAGAAACACUCAAGGUAAGAUCUUGGUGUUAGCGUGACUUGUGUUGCACUAAGGGUCAUAUUGCUAAACAUUUCGUCGCCCAAGAACACAUAUUUGUCAAGGCUUUCCUAGGAGUUUUGGGCAUUUCCGGGAGUAGUUUUAUGACCCUGGUGGUAGUUUGACCCUUGGAGUAGUUUUAUGGCCCUGGUGGUAGUUUGGCCCUUCCUCUGUACCAUGAACCUGAAGAAACACCUAUUUGACAAGGCUUUCCUAGGAGUUUUGGGCAUUUCCGGGAGUAGUUUUAUGACCCUGGUGGUAGUUUGACCCUUCCUCUGUACCAUGAACCUGAAGAAACACCUAUUUGACAAGGCUUUCCUAGGAGUUUUGGGCAUUUCCGGGAGUAGUUUUAUGACCCUGGUGGUAGUUUGACCCUUCCUCUGUACCGUGAACCUAAAGAAACACCUAUUUGUCAAGGCUUUCCUAGGAGUUUUGGGCAUUUCCGGGAGUAGUUUUAUGACCCUGGUGGUAGUUUGGCCCUUCCUCUGUACCGUGAACCUAAAGAAACACCUAUUUGUCAAGGCUUUCCUAGGAUUUUUGGGCAUUUCCGGGAGUAGUUUUAUGACCCUGGUGGUAGUUUGACCCUUCCUCUGUACCGUGAACCUAAAGAAACACUCAUUUGAUCCCAAUUGAUCCUCUCUUUGACCUUUAGAAAUACUCAUGUGAGAAACGAAGGUCUUAUAAUACCUCUCUAAGUGUUUCGCUGAUCAAUAAAGAGUUCAGAGAGUCA